UACGUAGGGGGCCAGCGUUGCUCGGAAUUACUGGGCGUAAAGGGUUCGUAGGUGGUGCGGCAAGUUGGGAGUGAAAUCUCUGGGCUUAACCCAGAGGCUGCUUUCAAAACUGCCGCGCUCGAGUGCGAGAGAGGUCAGUGGAAUUCCACGUGUAGCGGUGAAAUGCGUAGAUAUGUGGAAGAACACCUGUGGCGAAAGCGGUUUUCUAGCUUACCCCUGACGCUGAGGCACGAAAGCAAGGGGAGCAAACAGG
rnacentral:rRNA from 1 species